rnacentral:lncRNA from 1 species
AGAGCGGGUGGGCGGGGGGGGGGUCAGGCCCCAGCUUGGGCCGUGCACGCCGGGCGGGGGGGGGGGGGGAGGGGGGCCCCCCCCCCCCCCCCCGGCCGGGGGGGUCGCCUCCCGGCGCGCGCUCCCCGCCCCCUCUCCGGGCGGCGGCGGCGGCGCAGGGGAAGGGGCGGGCGGGGGCCCGGCUCUCUCCUCCCACCGCGCUCCCGCCGCUCCACGCUUCCAGGCACAGAGCAAGCGGCGGCAAGGCGGCGCGGGCCGGCCCGGCUUCCUUCUCGCCGCCGGCGCCGUUCCCGGACGGGCACGCGCCGCGAUGGCCUCGGCGGAGCGGGGCUGAGCCCGCCGCCUGCCCGCCCGCGGACCCGCAGCCCCGCAGCCCCCGGCCGCCUCCGGCCCAACCAUGGCGAAGCAGUACGAUGUGCUGUUCCGGCUGCUGCUGAUCGGGGACUCCGGGGUGGGCAAGACCUGCUUGCUUUGCCGCUUCACCGACAACGAGUUCCACUCCUCGCACAUCUCCACCAUCGGUGUUGACUUUAAGAUGAAGACUAUAGAGGUAGAUGGCAUCAAAGUGCGGAUACAGAUCUGGGACACAGCAGGGCAGGAGAGAUAUCAGACCAUCACAAAGCAGUACUAUCGACGGGCCCAGGGAAUAUUUUUAGUCUACGACAUUAGCAGUGAGCGCUCCUACCAGCACAUCAUGAAGUGGGUCAGUGAUGUGGAUGAGUAUGCACCAGAAGGUGUUCAGAAGAUCCUUAUAGGAAAUAAGGCCGAUGAGGAGCAGAAACGCCAGGUGGGAAGAGAGCAGGGGCAGCAGGAAUGUUCUUCUCUUGCAGCUGGCUAGAGAGUAUGGCAUGGACUUCUAUGAAACAAGUGCCUGCACCAACCUCAACAUUAAAGAGUCCUUCACGCGCCUGACGGAGCUGGUGCUGCAGGCCCACAGGAAAGAGCUGGAAGGUCUGCGGACGCACGCCAGCCAUGAGUUGGCCUUGGCGGAGCUGGAGGAGGAGGAGGGCAAACCCGAGGGUCCGGUGAACUCUUCGAAAACCUGCUGGUGCUGAGGGUCCCACGUGGAGCACCCGCACAAUCCCCUCUCCCCGCAGGAGGCCUGCGGGCAUACAGGGAGCCUGGGCCUCGCCCUGCUUCUCCUCUCCUUUGGGUGGCCUGUGGCAUCUCAGCCGCUGCUUCUCCCCCUGCCUGGCACCAAGAGCAGCUCCGCUGUCUUGUCUGAACAGCCUUGCCUCCGGCCCUCCACCGGGGUGUCCCCUCCAGCCUGUUUCCCCAGCCACAGGUCUGCUACUGGUCCCGACGUGCCAUGAGCACUGCCUCACUGCCCCAGCUCCCAGGCAAUGGCCGAGUCUGGAGUCAAGGCCUCUGUAAGGCUCCAUCUCUUUCAGUGCAUCUGGUGUCCUCUGCUUUUUCUCGCUUCUUCCCACUUCUCUCUCUCUGUACCCCCGCCUCCUGCUGUGUUCAUAUCAACCUUUCCCACCCCCCGCGCCAUGCCAUGUGGCUGCUAGUGUGGCCCUUCUCCCCACCCCCCCAGCCUUGGCCUAUCCCAGGGAAUGGACUCAGGCUCAGGGGCGAGUUUCCUGCUCUGCUCCAGGGAGAACCUGUGCCCUGCUUGGUGGGCACUUCUUCCUGUCCUCCCCGCCCCACCGCCCUGUCUUGUGCCAUGGGCCUGCCUCCCCAGGCACCGGGGAAAGAGGAAUGUCAAGGGAGGAAGGAAAGCUCAAACUGGUGGUCCCCACGCCUGGGGCUUUCCUGCCUCCUGCCCCCAGCGUCAGCCUUGCUUGGCUGCCUGCCAGCUGCCAUUGGGGAAACUGAGCUUGAGGCAGGUGCUUCUGAGAAGAAAAAAAAUGAUGAGGGGUGGCAGGGACAAAAAGUCACCUCCAUUCUCUACCUCCCAGGCAGCAUGUAUACCAUUUCUACUCCCCUGGGCUCCUGAAUUGAAAGAUGCGGACCAAGCCUGGAGGGCACUGUGGGGGCAAGGAAAGCCUCGGGGCCAACAACAAGCUCCAGAAAGGGGACUGUUUGGUAGUGAAGGACCAGCUCCUAUCUAUCAGGUUAAGAGCCAGGGAGAGCAGGCAGGGUAGCAGUUUGCACACGAGAGGGGAAUUCAGCAACAGGAGGGAUUCCUGGGCCUCCUCUUCCAUUUCUUGUGUGAGAAAGGUGUUUCCCCACCACCCCUGGCAGUGAGAGGUGACAGAACCACCCUGGGGGGCUUUCUCUGAGCCCAGCCUGGGGCUCUCGAGGUUUUCCUGAGAACCAAAGUUUGCGGGACAAGGGCAGGGAGCUCAUGGGAAGAAAGCAAGCGAGCCCUGGGUAGGGAUGCUUGGUGCUGUUCCCUUCAGCCUUCAAGGCAAGUGCCCAUCUUGCCCCUCUGGCUCCUGAGUCAGAGGCUUGAGGUUUGCCAGCUGCACUGUGGCUUCAGGUGGAAGGAAGCAGACUUGCUCCUCCAGGGCCCUUUGUUCAGGAAGAUGUUUCUUUAACCCCAUAUGGUCCAAGAGUAGCUUAAGGAGGCCCUUUAAGGAGGGAAUGAGUCAGUUACCAGCUCUAGGGAGGAGGGUCAGUCUUAAGUGUGUUGCAUGGCUGGAGCUGGAGCUAAAACACAGAACUGAGCAUCCAACACUCAUUGAUUAAGGACCAAAAUCCAGGAUACACACACGUAAAGGAUCAAGAGUCCCACUUCCUUAUUCUGCCGAAGAAAAAAGGUGAGGGAUGAACUCACCGAACCUUUCCUCCUGGUUCUUACCAGAUCAGGAGAGGGUAGCUCAGGGUGUAGGAACGGAGACGGGUCGGCAUGGUGAAAGGAAGAGGAGGGCAGGAAUAGUUAUAAAUCAUCGACUAAUGAGACAUGUAGAGCUGCCUCUUUAGAAUGAAGUCACAACCAUAGCUUAGGAGGCUUCCUUGACAACUGACUCCUCAGGCGUCAAGACAUAUGCAGUCGCACAGAGGGGGGGUGGGGAGGUCAGCAGUGCCAACCCUCGGCGUGCCCUCAGCCAGGGCCUCGAGGAAGGGAAGUUAUCCUGGCCAUCAGCUCCACCUGUGGAUCAGAAUCUCCACUUCCCUCAAGAUCAGGCUGAGCACCAUUGCCUUUCUCUCCCAGCCCCCUCAGGAAAGAGGGGCUGUAUUUUUACUGUAUUCUUGGGUUUUGGAAGGGAAAACUUGAGGCUGGGAUCCUACGGCCUGGUAAGCCCCAUCCACAAGGGCCACAGUCAGGGAGAGGUUGAGGGCAGGAGGGUUGGGAUUUUAGGGUGCAGCUAUGCUCACCAGGUACCAGAGUCAGCUUCUCACCCCUAAACUCCAGUGCAGGAGGUGGCCUGGGACCUGGCCUUUGGCCCAGACUGUUGAGCAGGCACACCUGCCUGUUGGCUCCUCACCACCUGUGCACCUGUUGCCUCGAGACUCAGCCCCAGGCACUCCACCUGCUCUAGAGCCCCACCAUCUCCCUGUGAUGGGUGAACUUGUGUGCUGUGUCUCGGGUCCAGUAUAUAAAUUGUGAGCAGGGUUCAUCUAUUUUAAACACAGAUGUUUACAAAAUAAAGAAUAUUUCAAAUCA